GACAGAGGGUGCAAACGUUGUUCGGAAUUACUGGGCGUAAAGCGUGUGUAGGCGGCCGCGCAAGUCGGAUGUGAAAGCCCUGGGCUCAACCCAGGAAGUGCACCCGAUACUGCAUGGCUCGAGUACUGGAGAGGUUGGUGGAAUUCUCGGUGUAGAGGUGAAAUUCGUAGAUAUCGAGAGGAACACCGGUGGCGAAGGCGGCCAACUGGACAGAUACUGACGCUGAGGCGCGAAAGCCAGGGGAGCAAACGGG
rnacentral:rRNA from 1 species